rnacentral:rRNA from 1 species
AUGUGAGAAUCAUUAACGCCGUAAACCCAAGGUUUCCUACGCGAUGCUCGUCAUCGUAGGGUUAGUCGGGUCCUAAGUCGAGUCCGAAAGGGGUAGACGAUGGCAAAUUGGUUAAUAUUCCAAUACCAACAUUAGUGUGCGAUGGAAGGACGCUUAGGGCUAAGGGGGCUAGCGGAUGGAAGUGCUAGUCUAAGGUCGUAGGAGGUUAUACAGGCAAAUCCGUAUAACAAUACUCCGAGAACUGAAAGGCUUUUUGAAGUCUUCGGAUGGAUAGAAGAACCCCUGAUGCCGUCGAGCCAAGAAAAGUUUCUAAGUUUAGCUAAUGUUGCCCGUACCGUAAACCGACACAGGUGGGUGGGAUGAGUAUUCUAAGGCGCGUGGAAGAACUCUCUUUAAGGAACUCUGCAAAAUAGCACCGUAUCUUCGGUAUAAGGUGUGGUUAGCUUUGUAUUAGGAUUUACUCCGAAAGCAAGGAAACUUACAACAAAGAGUCCCUCCCGACUGUUUACCAAAAACACAGCACUCUGCUAACUCGUAAGAGGAUGUAUAGGGUGUGACGCCUGCCCGGUGCUCGAAGGUUAAUUGAUGGGGUUAGCAUUAGCGAAGCUCUUGAUCGAAGCCCGAGUAAACGGCGGCCGUAACUAUAACGGUCCUAAGGUAGCGAAAUUCCUUGUCGGUUAAAUACCGACCUGCAUGAAUGGCGUAACGAGAUGGGAGCUGUCUCAAAGAGGGAUCCAGUGAAAUUGUAGUGGAGGUGAAAAUUCCUCCUACCCGCGGCAAGACGGAAAGACCCCGUGGACCUUUACUACAGCUUGACACUGCUACUUGGAUAAGAAUGUGCAGGAUAGGUGGGAGGCUUUGAGUAUAUGACGCCAGUUGUAUAUGAGCCAUUGUUGAGAUACCACUCUUUCUUAUUUGGGUAGCUAACCAGCUUGAGUUAUCCUCAAGUGGGACAAUGUCUGGUGGGUAGUUUGACUGGGGCGGUCGCCUCCCAAAUAAUAACGGAGGCUUACAAAGGUUGGCUCAGAACGGUUGGAAAUCGUUCGUAGAGUAUAAAGGUAUAAGCCAGCUUAACUGCAAGACAUACAAGUCAAGCAGAGACGAAAGUCGGUCUUAGUGAUCCGGUGGUUCUGUGUGGAAGGGCCAUCGCUCAAAGGAUAAAAGGUACCCCGGGGAUAACAGGCUGAUCUCCCCCAAGAGCUCACAUCGACGGGGAGGUUUGGCACCUCGAUGUCGGCUCAUCGCAUCCUGGGGCUGGAGCAGGUCCCAAGGGUAUGGCUGUUCGCCAUUUAAAGCGGUACGCGAGCUGGGUUCAGAACGUCGUGAGACAGUUCGGUCCCUAUCUGCCGUGGGCGUAAGAAGAUUGAAGAGAUUUGACCCUAGUACGAGAGGACCGGGUUGAACAAACCACUGGUGUAGCUGUUGUUCUGCCAAGAGCAUCGCAGCGUAGCUAAGUUUGGAAAGGAUAAACGCUGAAAGCAUCUAAGCGUGAAGCCAACUCUAAGAUGAAUCUUCUCUAAGCUCUCUAGAAGACUACUAGUUUGAUAGGCUGGGUGUGUAAUGGAUGAAAGUCCUUUAGCUGACCAGUACUAAUAGAGCGUUUGGCUUAUCUUU